rnacentral:tRNA from 1 species
GGCCGACUAGCUCAGCUGGUUAGAGCGUCGUGCUAAUAUGCUGUAGUUGAAAGACUCUUAUUACGCGAAGGUCUUGGGUUCGAUCCCCACGUUGGCCA